GCCCGGUUGCCGUGGUUGCAGGCCCGGCCCGCCCGCUUGCUGGUUGACAGCGAGACUAAGAGCGGAGGGAAGUGGGUCCGUUGGUCUGUCGGGAACGAGG
rnacentral:pre_miRNA from 1 species